GGAGUCGGGCUGGUAGUACCGACAUGCGUCGAUAGUACCGACAGGCCAAAUUUGCGCAAGCUGUGAGGUGCACAGAAUUGACCUGUCGGUAGUACCAGCCUUUUGCCGAUAGUACCGACGCUGGCCGAUAGUACCGGCUCAAGCUCGGUAGUACCGACAGGCCAAUUUUGCGCACUUCCUUGAUGACUGUAGGAGACUUUCCAACGUUCAGAUCUGAGGGUCGGUAGUACCAGUGUUUGGCGUCGGUAGUACCGAUAGUUGUUCUGAACAUAUAUAUAAAUAGCUCUCUCUCUCUCUUCACUUCUAACCUUGCGCACUUUACUUCUAACAGAUAGUUGACUCCACUCUGAGAAAACAACCUCCAAGCUUUGACUCACCCACUCUCUCUGCCUCCUUGCUCCUAGGCUUCAAUCCUUGAAAGAUUCGAGCUAGAGAAGUGAGAUUUGAGAGUUGGGAGCUUUGAUCCGCGACUUGAGCACUUGGUUUCUUCGUCUUGCUGGUUUGUUUGCAUUUGUUACUCUUGGGUUCUUGGAACCCUAGCCGGCUAGGCAUUCUUUGUGGUUACCCGUGUUGAUUCAUUUGUGAGGACACCCUGAAGUGUUUGUAUCAGCCUUUGAUUCUUAGUGGAAAUCUCGAUCUAACCUUCGUGGUUGCUUGGGAGAGGAGACCUAAGUGGUCGGACCUUCGUGGUCGCCUCAACAACGGGGACGUAGGAACUCCUUCGUGAGAAUUGCUGAACCUCGAGAAAAAUAUCUUGUCUUGCUGUGGAGGUAGCAUCAACUACCCUUGUUCUUGUGUUCUUCGUGUUCUCCCUCUCUAUCUCCUUUCAUAGAUGAACAAGGCCCGAUCUAUGUUUUGGAGAAGAGCCAAGCCCAGGGAACUUCGACAUCAUCCUCUACUACAUCUAGGAGAAUGGAGUAACUCUGAGAUCUAAAAUAAAACUCAAUAUACUCCGAUUUCAUAGCUCUCUUAGGGCGUCGGUAGUACCAACAGUUUGCGUCGAUAGUACUGGUUGUCUUACACUAGUAGUACCGGCCCAAACUGUCGGUGGUACCAAUAGGCAUUUAACUUCCGCAACAUGAGUUCUUGAGUUUUAGGUUUUUAAGAUACGCAUAUUCACCCUCCCUUUAGGCCAAUUAGAUCCUUUCAAUAAGUGAACAUGUCAAAUUAUGAAGAGCUAGUAGAACUACAGUUUAACCGUUACUAAUGUGUUUAGGAUUGUGAAACAACUUUGACAAUUUCAAAUGAGUAAGAUAAUUUAAUUUUGUAACAUUUGAAUGGUUCCCCUAAGAUAUGUUUCGAGUGAUCCACAAGAAUCUGAAAACACUAAAUCUAUUUUAUGGACUUAAAUAAUGAUCAUCCUGUCUGAAAUGCUAGAAUGAUUGGUUGGAGAUUGUAUUUAUUGAAAAUGGUUUGAGUACUAUUCUUUUACAUUGUAAUUAUGUCUAUCAUCUCUGAAUCUAUAAUCGUCACUUGUGUGGUUGUGUUCCAUUACAAUCCUAUCGAUUGAUUCAAUAUCAUCAGUCAUCAUGUCUUAACAAGUAAAAUAUAUCAUACAGGUUCCUCGUGACAUGCAGGUGCCCCAUGAGGAGGUACAUGAAUGUGUCUCCUGGAUUCUCAAGAAUUAUGGUUUCUGUCCUACUGAAGAAGUCAUCCGUGUUGGAAACCUGUACCUUCUUACGCUCUUGCUUUCCUUCAGUGGUAGUAAUUUGUUACUCAAGUAUUCAUUUGUUUCUUCUACUUGUUCUUGAAGCUAUCGUUAUGUGAAUGUGUUAUCUAAAGAAGAGUCACCUUGCAAAAAUGGUAUGCAAGCAUUUUCUGAUCAAAAUCUCAUUCAAAUUUUGAAGAAAAACAUAAGACCCAAUGAUUUUUUUGUAAUGGGAAACAUGGGAUGUGAAUGCCAUCAUGGAAGCUAAGGGACCCCUAUGUCAUCUUGCUAAAGCACAAAAGGUAAAGGUAUUUCUAUGAUCCUAUUGUAUUUCCCCAUCCCUUCAUGCGUAGGACAAAGCCACUCAUCACCCCGUAUGUCUUGCUUACCAUGUUUUCAUUUCCCAUUUCAUUAGUAUUCACCAAUUUUAGGUCAUCUUUCCUUAUUUUGGUAGUGCUUUAUUAUCGUAAGAUUAUGGCCAGUUGUUAUUUUAUAUCUCCCGUGCAUCUUUUGGGUUUGCCAGAUUGAGUCUUCUUGGGUUGAAAUAUUUGUGAAACAAUGGCAAUUUUGCGACAAGCUAAUCUCUUGAGCCACCAGGAAUGUCUUGUUAUGCUUUUGAUUUGUGGAUUACUGAUUCAGCAGCUUAUGUGCUGCUUAAACAUGUUCCAAAGUACUGUCCUAUCAAUCCUAUAAGGUCUGAGUUUUGCAUGAAAAAACAAUGGGAUUUUUGCAUGCGCCCACAUGCAAAAGGAACAUUGCAAGUUGGGGAGUUUGUCAUCCGUUCAGAUCAUGAUCUUUGUCGGACACGCUUCAGUUUUAUGUAUUCUCUCAUAUUCCAGCAGUGUUCAUUUUUCCCUUUGACCAGUUGAUGUAGCACCAAGUUUGGCAGUCCAACAAGGCUCGGUGUUGUCUUAUAUCUUCAGUUCUUAUUGUAAAGUUAGGGUGAACGAGAUGACCCUUUGGGGCUCUCGGUUGCAUGUUAAUAUAUGCAGAGAAUAGCCCUCUGCGUGGCUUACAGCACAAGAAGAUGAAUUACAACAAACUCUCAAAGAUCUCAUCUAGAUAACCACCUAGCUAGAUACAUGCAUCAUAUCUUCUAGUACAAGUAGCUAGUACAAGUAGUUACAAGUCAUCAUAUCUCAACAACUAAUUCUAAUACUCCCCCUCAAUCUUAGCCACUUACAAGGUUAAGAUUGUUUCUGAAUUUUCGUAAAUGUGCAGCCGAGAUUGCUUUGGUGAAACCAUCCGCAACUUGAUCGCCAGAGUUAAUGAAUCGAAUAUCCAGUAACUUAUGUGCCACUCUUUCUCUCACAAAAUGGAAAUCAAUCUCAAUGUUUUGUUCUCGCAUGAAAAACUGGGUUUGCUGAUAAGUAUUUGGCACCUAAAUUGUCGCACCAUAACCUCGCAGCUGAUGGAUGUGAUAUUCCCAACUCACUUAACAGCUUUUGCACCCACAUGAGUUCUGCAGUGGCGUUGGCUAACGCUUUGUACUCGGCUUCAGUCGAUGACCUUGAGACGGUAGCCUGUUUCCUUGCCAUCCAGGACACAAGAUUUUUGCCAAGAAAUACUGCGAAGCCUCCUGUCGACCGUCGGUCAUCCACAUCGCCGGCCCAGUCCGCAUCCGAGAACGCACUUACUAGCAUCGAUCUUGACUUCCUGAUUUUGAGACCAUACUUGAUCGUUCCUCGAACAUACCUUAAAAUCCUCUUCACAGCGCUCCAAUGAACUGAAGUAGGAGCGUGAAGAAACUGGCACACCUUGUUCACUGCAUAGGAUAUGUCAGGGCGUGUGAGCGUGAGGUAUUGCAAGGCCCCCACCAAGCUUCGAAACCGUGUAGCAUCUUCUGAACCCAGCGCCUCACCAUCAGUGAUACUGAGUUUUUCCGCGGUAGCCAUAGGUGUUUCAACUGGCUUUGCCUUGUCCAUGCCUGCACGAGAGAGAACAUCAUUGGCAUAUCUUUCCUGAGUAAGUACAAGUCCUUCUGAUGACUUCUUGACUUCUAUUCCAAGGAAAUAAUGAAGAUCACCAAGAUCCUUGAGUGCGAAGUCUUUCUGCAAAUCCUUUAGCAGUACAUUGGUUCCCUCUUGUGUAGAACUGGCAACGAUAAUGUAGUAAUCGCCCCUACUAUAAUAAAAUAGUGACGCAUCAGCUUUAGAGGGAAUGAAUCCCAAUGACUGCAACCUUUUACUGAGUCUGGCGUGCCACGCUCUUGGUGCCUGUUUCAGGCCAUAAAGAGCCUUGUCCAGCUUACAUACAUACUUGGGAUGUUCCUUGUCUUCAUAGCCCGGUGGUUGGUCCAUAUAUACUUCCUCUUCCAGGAUCCCAUGGAGAAAAGCAUUCUGAACAUCGAGUUGACGUAAAGACCAUCCUCUGGAAACUACAAUUGACAACACAAGCCGUAUAGUCGCUGCUUUUACAACCGGACUGAAGGUGUCUUCGUAGUCAAGACCAUACCGCUGCUUGAAUCCCUUUGCUACAAGGCGAGCUUUGUAGCGAUCAAUUGAUCCAUCUGCCUUGCGCUUAACCUUGUAUACCCAUUUGCAUCCUAUCACAUUCUUCCCUUUGGGACAGGGUACAAGGUGCCAAGUCUGAUUCUUCAUAAGUGCUUGAUGCUCAUUGUCCAUAGCUGCAUGCCAAUUUCUGUCAUUGAAGGCUUCAGCAAGGGACGCAGGUUCCCCUGAGGCAGUGCUUGCAACCAUGCCCCACCGAACCGUUCCAUCAGUGUAUGUCUUGGGCUUCCUAAUCCCACGUUGAAGACGAGUCACCGGGCGCAGUGGAGGAGCUGGUGCGGCCGUAGAGGAUCCAGGCGCAGGAGCAUCUGGCAACACAAUCGUCAUGGGAUCCAGUGCUGCCUCUGUCCCCUGGGCGUUGGGAUCCGGCUGCGACACUGGGACCGGCGCCGUAUCAGUGUGUGGCACGGGUAGCGGUGUAGAAGAUCCAGACGGGAGAUGUACCUCCGCUCCAGGCGAGGACACGCGCUCCUGAGCAGCCGUACCUCGGACAGCAGGACGCGGUGAAUUAGCAUCAACUGCUGUGUUGUCCCCAGUUGGGACACACAUGAAAUGACGCUCGCCCAGCGCCGAUUCUGGAUCAGUUUUCUCCAUGUGUGCACCUGCAUUCAACGAGUUUCCUGCACAACUUGAUGAGGGAUUAGAAGGUAAUGAAGACUCAUUAUUUUGACCAGGCAAGUACGAUUCCCCAGAACUAGCGUUUGAGAGAUGUUCGGGCAAUAGUGCAAUUUCAGCGCGAAGUUGAGCGCCGGCGUUAGGAUGGAGCACUGCGAACGGGAAGACAUGUUCAUCAAAAACAACGUCGUGUGAGAUAUACACACGACCAACAGAGGGAUCAAGGCAUUUGUACCCCUUGUGCUUGUUGCUAUAGCCAAGGAAGACACAUUUUGUGGAGCGGAAGGCGAGCUUUCUAGAGGUAUAGGGCCGCAUAUUGGGCCAGCAUGCACACCCAAACGACCGGAGGAAGGUGUAAUCUGGUUGUUGGCCGUAGAGUCGGAAAAAUGGGGUGUCAUUAUUGAUAACUUUGGAUGGCAAUCUAUUGAUUAGGAAGACCGCAGUGGUGAAGGCCUCGUCCCAAAAUUUAAGUGGCAUGUGAGCAAGAAGGGUUAGCCCAACUUCAACUAUAUGUCGAUGUUUCCUUUCAGCUGCUCCAUUUUGUUGGUGAGCAUGUGGACAGGAAACGUGAUGGGAGAUUCCCAUGCGAGUAAAGAAGGGACCAAGAGCUUGAUAUUCCCCACCCCAAUCAGUCUGUACAGCACGGAUUUUUUGAUCAAAUUGUCGCUCAACAAGCAUUUGAAAAUCACGAAAACAUUGAAAAACUUCAGACUUUCGACGCAACAAAUAGAUCCAUGUGAAUUUACUAUGGUCAUCAAUGAAACUCACAUAGUAAUUAUUUCGACCAACUGAACUAGGAGCAGGACCCCAUACAUCAGAGAAAAUAAGAUCCAACACAUUAUUUGAAACACUAGAGGAUCUAGGAUAGGGCAAUUGAUGGCUCUUUCCCUUUUGACAGGCAUCACAGAUGCUAGCUUUAUUCGACUCUUGGAUGAAAGGAAGCUUGUGGUGGUUGAGCACGCGCUGAACAAUGGAUGAUGCAGGAUGCCCUAACUGAUGAUGCCACAAGGACGCAGGAAGCUUGGUUACUCCAAGCACCUCUUUAUUUGAUCGCACGGGGUAAAGACCAUCCUUACAUGGUCCGGUGAGAAGUAUUCUCUUCGUCUGCUGCUCCUUCACACAAAAGUGAUUGGGGUAAAACUCAAAGAACACAUUAUUAUCACGAGCUAUACGGUUGACAGACAGAAGAUCUUUGUGUGCAGAUGGAACAUGAAGAAUGUUUCUAAGAUGCAGCUUACUAGUUGGGGAACGUAAAAUGCCAUGACCAAUAUUUUGAAUCUCCAUACCUGAGCCACUGGCCGUGUGAACUUGGUCACCGCCGUGGUAUUUAUCGCGAGUUGUGAGCUUCUCCAGCUCACUCGUGAUAUGAUCGGUCGCACCGGUAUCCAUAUACCAGUUGGUGUCGAUGCCGUAUGUCGAGGAAGUAGCCGUGGACGCCAUCUUCUGCGGAGGCCCAGUGAAGUCACGAUCAAAUCGCUUGAAGCAGCGAUAGGCUGGGUGGCCUUCCUUCCCGCACACUUGGCAGAUGACUCCUGGUUGGAAGGUACUCCGGCCGCCGUUGUUGCCAGCACCACGGCCAAAACCGCCGCGGGAAUUGCGGCCACCUCCGUUCCUGCCUCCGCUGCCACGGCCACCAUUGCCACGAUGAGGAUGGCCACCGGUGCGAUUUCCUUUGGUUGCCAUGUUCACCGAGGACUGACUGCCCCCAUUGCGCAUGUCGAGGCGUUGCUCGUGACUGAUUAGCUGCGUAAACAGUUCGCUAAUGGAAAUUGGUUCCACUCGAGCUGCAACAGCCGUCGCAACUGGAUCAUAAUCUGGAUCCAGUCCAUUGAGGAGGUAAGAGAUCAUCUCCUCGUCUUCAAGUUUGCGCCCUGCCACCGCCAUCUCGUCUGCUAGGGACUUGAUCUUUGCGAAGUACUCGCUGACGGUGGAGGUGCCUUUAGUGGCAUUGGCGAGCGCCAUCCGGGUGGAGAUCACCUUGACGCGGGACUGCGAUGCAAACAUCGCCCCAAUGGCCGCCCAUGCACCUUUGGGCAUGACUUCAGUGUUGACAUGGCCAAGAAUCUCUUUGGAGAGAUUUGUGAGCACAUAGCUCAGGACCAUCUGGUCCUUGGCCACCCACGCGGCGUAGUCAGGGUUCGCCUUGGGUGGAUCUGCUUCCUUCCCUGCCUCAACCGGCAGGUAUUUCGCCGGCGGCUCAGCAGUGCUCUCCAACCAGUCGGCUAGUUGGGCACCUCUCAACGCCGACAGCAUUUGUGCCUUCCACGAUUGAUGGUUGGCACGAUUCAGCUUCUCGGUCACCGGAGGAAGAAAGGCGGCGAGCGAGAGUGCAGCAGAAACUCCUAAGGAGGACGAAGCGGAAGCCAUGGAAGCAAUCCGUGUGGAAGAAGGCUCUAGAUAUCAUGUAAAGUUAGGGGAACGAGAUGACCCUUUGGGGCUCUCGGUUGCAUGUUAAUAUAUGCAGAGAAUAGCCCUCUGUGUGGCUUACAGCACAAGAAGAUGAAUUACAACAAACUCUCAAAGAUCUCAUCUAGAUAACCACCUAGCUAGAUACAUGCGUCAUAUCUUCUAGUACAAGUAGCUAGUACAAGUAGUUACAAGUCAUCAUAUCUCAACAACUAAUUCUAAUACUUAUAUAUUCUUACUAUAUUCGUACUGCUUUCACUUUGCCCUUUGACAGGUUGUGUCCCUUUCCCCGUUGACUAGGUAUAUCUUGCAAAAAGAUUUGCCCUUUUGUUUUUGUUAGGUCAGUUUGGGCUGGAAAAUGAAUGGUAAGUUGUCUAGAUUGUGGUUUGAGUAUCAAAGGUUGGUUCUCUUUUGCUUGGAACAGUUAGUCUUGUCAGAUGUCGUAAGCUGCACAAAGCCCUGAAAGGCUAAAAUGAAUGUGUUAAUUUUGAAAAGCAUGUCUUAUGGCUCUUUCACUGCCAAAAUACGAAAUGUAGGUGGUUUUUUGCAUGCCCUAAUUUAGAGAACGUCACUCUAAAAAAAACAUGCUUUUGUACAUUUAUGCUGGUUUCUCUCUUUGCCUCCAUUUUCUUAAUUUGUUGCUAAGCACUUAUGUGUGAUGAACCAUCAACUGGCUCCUGUUUUUUGAGAGAAUUUAAUGGAAGGACACUUCAAGUCAAUUCGCUUCUGUGAAAACUUGGGGCUGCCAUAGCAUUUGUGUUCAGUCAAAACACUCUCCUCACAAAGGAAUGGAAUACCUUUUACCUUUGAUGACUAUAAAUAUCUAAAAAAAUCAUCGAUUAACAAUGAUUCAUUAUGAAAAUAAUUUCAUAAUGUCUGUCUGUCUGUCUGUCUCUGUCUGUCUGAUGAGCUCUCUUUGGGCCGAUGGUUAUAUGCCUGGCCCCUGUUUUAUAUUUGUCAAUGUGAUAUGAUUAGAGAUAGGCAAGGAUAUUGUUGAUGGGUGAUAUUUCUAUAAAUCAGUCAUAGGAAUUCUUGGUCCUUGCCUACAUGUAUCUGCUCUAAUCAACCUAAUUAUUCAUUCAAGAACCAAUUUGUCUUGCAUGGUAUCAGAGGGUCGAUCCUUACCCUAACCCUCUGCACAACUUCUCUUCUCUUCCCAUGGGGAUCAACGUGGCUGACGGUAGGCCUCCCUCGUCUCGUGCUGCUGUCCGGUCAAGCGAACACCUCACUGCCUGCCACUAAGAGUGAGGCCAAGGAGAACUGCGAGCGAGACGCCUAGGCUGCUCGUGACGCUGCUCUUGCUCGUGCCUAGGACGCUGGGUGCAAAGCCGCCGCCGCUGCUGCCAAGGAGCGCGACGUGGCUGCCACCCACGCGCGAGGUGCCCUCGUCCGUGCAUUGCGCAGCAGCUGCCUUCGAUCCACAUUCAGAUGACGAUGUAAUAAGUGAGCUAGUAAAAAAAUCUCCUUAUGAUCGAGUAGCUUUAGUGAUGUUGCAUUUUCUAUGAUUAUGAAUAUAGCAUCUAACAUCUGAGUGGGUGCUGCUUUGAUGUCGUCCCAUGUUUAAAAGGAAGUGUUUUCUUGGCUUGUCCAUACAGACACACCGGAUGUUUUGUAUUUUCUGACAUUUCCAUAUUUUAUUGAACUUUGACAGGUGAAAAAUAAGGGCAACUUUAGUGGUGAGUCGAUUCACAGAAGAAAAAGGACGCCCACGUCAGUUUUAGAUGAGUCGGUUUCUAAGCUAAGUGGACCCUAUGCACAAAUAAACAAAACUAUUACAUCUAUGUUGCCAAAUAAAAAAAUAAUUUUCUACUUGCUUUUGUCCGAUCAUUCUCUCAUCAGCCGUUCCUGCUUUUUUAUUUUAAUCGUUCUUGCCGGCAGUGAGUCGACUCAUGCAGGUGAAUCGGUUCAAUCUCUCUCAUCGAAUGAGUCGAUUGCUCCAGUGGUACGAGUCGACUCAUGGCUUGCCACCUCAUCCCAUGAGUCGCUUUUCAAAGCCCACUGGAGAAGCCCUAAAGGACCUAGAGGAUGGGAACUCAAGUAUGCAAGGAGAAGUUUUUUUUUUUUCCAUGUUGGAGAUCAGUAUUAUCAUCCCGAGUGCUUGUGAAUAAAUCAGUAGGCCAAGGAUCUUCCCCAGCUCCAGAUCUUAGUCUUGGUCUGUUGGAUAGGGUUCGGCAAUUAAGAAAUUUUCAACCCACAAGGACGUUUUGUAGUGCUGCAUUGCCACUGUUGAAGAUUUUGAGGAAUGCAUGAGCAGGAGGUAGGCCAUAAGUCGCUGCAGCUUAUUUGGCUGCAGCUGCAGCUGUGUGCCUGUGUCUAGUGUUAUCUAGAGCACACACGGUAGUUCUAUAUGGAAUAAACGGAAGGAAGGUCAAUAGGCUAAUAUUAUUGUUUUUGUUAUAAGUUUUAGUUCUUAGUUUUUCUUUGUUUGUAUCAGUGUGGAUCAAUAUGACUUUAUAUUAACUUGGAUACUCAGUUUCUUGGAUUAAAUUCUUCUAUUGACGUUAAAAUUGUUGUUAAUUUACAAUCUAAUUCCAUGUUGGUUAAACUAACUUGGUUUUGGUUCUUGGGAGGUAAAUGUUGUGCUGUUAGUCCAGUUUUAAUGAGGCCUUAUUAAAGUUUUAUGGACAUUAAAUAUGCUGAUAUAGCACCAUAUUAAUGAAGAGAGAGAUAAUAAUAGUUUUAUGAGAGUAGAGAGAGUUUGAUGGGGAUGAAACUCUUCUGCCCUAUUUCUAAAAUAUGGAUAUGUCUGAAAUUGGAUCACGAAGACUUCACUGAGGAUGGCUUUAGGAACUUUUUGUCUUUUGUUGUUAUUUUUCUUGUAUGUGCAGCUUACGUACCACUCUUUUUCUAUUGGAUAAAGAACAGGCUUCAACCAAAGAAAACUAGGUAGUACGUAUACACAGUCUUCUUGAAGCUACGACCUUGCAUAAUGUUUAACUUUGUGGUAUGCACGAAUGAACUUUAAAAACUAUAUAAGCGAAAGCCGCUUUGGUCGUGAUUAGGAUUGAGUUGGGCCAUCUUUUGGAUGCUUUUCCGGUCAAAGUGCGCAUCGAUGAGUUCAGUCAGGGCAGAUCAGUACGGCAUCGAGCUAAGGCCUUGUUUAGUUCCAAAAAAGUUUUGCAAAAUUUUUUAGAUUUUUCAUCACAUCGAAUCUUUAGACACAUGCAUGAAGUAUUAAAUAUAGAUAAAAAUAAAAACUAAUUGCACAGUUUGGUCGAAAUUGACGAGACGAAUCUUUUGAACCUAGUUAGUCUAUGAUUGGAUAAUAUUUGUCAAAUACAAACGAAAAAGCUACAGUAUCAAUUUUGCAAAAUAUUUUGGAACUAAACAAGUCCUAACUUAGCUCAAUCGGGGUUGUUUUGUUCCCUUGGACGGACGAGCCACAAGAGAUGGUUGGCGCAAAGCGUUGGGUGCGGCCAGCUCCUCGAUCAACCAAAAGUGCACUAACGCUAUCCGCGUACUAUAUAUAUUUCUUUCUUCCAUAUAAAGUGGCCCAAAUUGUCCGUGAUUUCACUCAAAGUGACUGCACACAAUGAUGCUCAUGCAUGCUGGUCGCGCAACAGGGGGAGACGAUGGCCGAGGUGGGGCGGGCAUCUCCAUUUUGCAUGAUGGGACUUGGAACAGAUUAAGGUCCAUGAUUUGACUGACACAAUGAUUAUUAUGCAGAUUUUUUUUCCCUUUCCAGACAAAUCUUCUGCCAUUAUAUUUAUGCGGUGUCGCUUCCGGUCUAAGAUGUGGAGUCCAUAAUAAAGUGACUUUUUUUAUCCAUUUUGUAGACGUGCGACUAGUAGUUUAGCUAUAAAUAAAUUUACCCGGCCUGUCAACAACAGUAUAAGCACAGAUAUGGCCUGUCAUUGGGGAAGCUAUUAUUGCCCUAUAUAUGAAGAAUCCGCCAUGCUCGCUGGGCACCAGCAUGCAUAUGUGCCAUUAAUCUGUGUGCCGGCAUCACAGAGAAUAUUUCGUCCAUCAGGUUAUUUUAAGCUUGGUCUCAGUUGGGUGCCUUGACUACAACAAACCAAUAAUGCAAUGUAACUAGGGUCUGGUUUAGUUUCCAAAACCAAUAAUUGGCCUAUCCAGCGCCUAUGCAGUAAAUUUCAGUCUUGUAUCUAUUUUUUUAUUAGAUAACUAGUUCUUGCUUGUACUAUAUGUUGCAAUCAUUUUCCUUGUUUUGCUUGUACUAUAUGUUCAUGCUUUGAGGGUCAGCUAGCUUCGUAGGAUCAUUUGGUAUUGAAAACUCUUGUCGAAUGGCGACGAAGAUAAAUGUGCAAAGCCGAAGACAAAUGCGUGAGGCCAAAGACAAAUGGCUCACUUGAGGAUAUGACAAAGACGAAGCUAGACCAACACGAAGUCAAUAUGAAUCCAACCUGUGUAGACCCCUUCGGCGUGCGAAGGCUCACCUCUUUCAACAAAGCCAAAGGAAUAAAUAAUUUUCGUUGUAUAAGGACCAAGUUGCCCCUAGCUGAAAUAGAGGUUAGUUUUGAGUGUAAUAGCAAAAUUAGGGGCAAAAGGGGAAUUGUAUAAAGUCGAGGGCUUCCCCACUAUAAAGAUCCCCUAACAUAUACAUUUUUUAGACAUGAAAUUUUUAUCGGUAAUGAUAAUGUGCGGGCGUCCGUCCAGUCCAGACGCCACGCACCCGGGCCUGCGGCCCAAUAAAUGAUGUUGCCGAACCAAUCUUAUCUAUCUCUGUUGUCCCUUUCCUCGAAUCGCACUCCUGCAGCGCUCGUGACGCUCUCCUCGCUCUCUCCUCCUCCUCCACUCCCUCGCUCUACUUGUGUGGUGUCAUGCCUCCCCUCUCUCUGUGACCUACAAGCCACCGGAGAGGAGGACGACAUCGAUGGCUUUCGGCGAGCUCCCUUCCUUCCUCCCUUCCUCCCUCCCUCCAUCCCUGCCCCUUUCGCAACCUUUAUAUCAUCAGAGAGGAGGGAUACGACGUUCGCUGAGUCGCGUCUUUCCUCUUUGUACCGCUUCGCGACCUCCAUGGAACCGGAGACGAGAACGACGGCGGUGGCUCCAAUGAGGUAGGUGGCGGAGGGAUCUAGAUCUGAGGCCUUCCUCCCCCUCUCUCCUAUCCUAGAGUCCUGGAUCUAAUCUGGCCCCUCCUCAUCUUCCUCCUCCUCCUCCUCUAGAUCUAAGGGAUGUGGUGGUGGCUAGGGUUUCGGUGAGCUCUUGAGGUUCAGCUCUCUCGUGUGUUGCAAUGGUGUUCUCCAGAUGUUGUAGCAUAUUUUCACUUGUUGUUUUAGUAGGCUAGGCUUCUGGCAAGCUCUCGGGUUCAGAUUUCACCUUUGUUGCAAUAGUUCCCUCUGGAUGUUGCAGCGGGUUUCAGUCAUUGUUGGAGUACUUCUUUUUUGAUAUGUUGUUUCAUUUUCUUCAGUCUGCAUGUUGCAGUAGUUUGUUGCCUAUUGUUGGAGCAGUUGUCGGGUGUUGUUGUUGUAGUAUGUUCAUUGUGUUUCAGCAGCUGCACCAAAUGUUUCAGCUAUUUUUUCUUUGUUUGUUUAUGUUCAAGGUGUUUCAACUUCAUCAUCCCAGUGUUGGAACUGUUGUCCUUUUUUGUUGUUGCACUGCUAUGCGUUCAUAGUGUUUUAACUGCUAUAAUUUAUUGUUACAGUAGUUCGUCGGGCGUGUUGCAAUAUCACGUUUUUGGUGUUUCAACGUCUUCAUCCUUAUGUUGCAGCGUGCAGACGAGGGAGGGGGAGGGGAGGGGAGCUGUGGUGGUGACUUUGCAGUUGAUUGGACAAUACUCCCUCCGUCCCAAAAAAAAGAGUGUCGUUUUAGAAUUUUAGACAUCUUAAUCAUUCGUCUUAUUUAAUUUUUUACAUAAAUAUUAUAUAUUUUGUUAAGACUUAUUUUAUCAUUAGAGAUACUUUACUAAUAAUUUAUUUAUUUUAUAAUUUAUAAAAAAUUUUUGAAUAUAACGAACGGUCAAACAUGAUGUCUAAAAAUAAAAAACGUUACUUUUUUUUGGAUGGAGUGAGUAUUUAUGAAAUAGAAACGAAAGUGCUACGGUGGUGUUUAUUUUGUAAAAAAAGUUUGUAAUUAAACAAGGCUCCAGACUCGUCUCUAUAAGGAGGUGCAUUUGCAGAGUCGCAGAGAACCAGAACCACACGCACACGGCGCUCCCGCUCCUCGUCCGCACCGGCGAAAACGUGCACCUACGGGGUCGUGUCGACCAAAGCAGGCACGGACAGACGCAGGCGCAGCCACACAGUCACACAACAGCCAGCGAGAAAGAAAAAAACGCCGUGCGACACCACACGUCCACACCAGCAGUCUGGGCCCAGUGCGGCGGGUUACGUCGCGUCGCGGACGUCGACCGACCGACCCCGUAUCGCGACGGCUUUGACCAUGGACCGACGACCGGGGCACUCCCUGCCUCACGCACGCACUGCUGGGCCUCCGAAUUUGCCCUCAUAAAAAACUUUUUAGAUUUAGAGACUAUAGUAUUUUUGUUUAUAUUUAUUAAUUAUUAUUUAAUUAUAAAUUAAUUAUAUUUAACAAAUUUAUCUUAUAAAUUAUAGAUAAGUUGUAUAAUUAAUUAUUUUUUUAAUUUAUAUUUAAUGUUCUAUAUGUAUAUAUUGUAUGAUUUGUUGUAAUGUGAAAUUUUUAAAAUAAAAAGAUUUUAGGUGAGACUGGACCAGGCAGCAGGGGGGAGUAGCCAGCCGGGAAAGCAACCUCUCACCCCGCCCCAUACGUCACCCUCAAUUUCUUCCUUUUGACUCCCCUACUACCUUUCCUGCCUGCCCUGCUUUGAACACAGCCCUCUUUUUCCCUUUCAUGUAUUCCACACCCUCUUUUCUAGUUUUUGACUAAAAAAAAGUACCUCAUGUUUGCAAAUAUGUGUCUUAUUCGUUUAGCUGAUAAGCUAUGAUAGAAAGUAUUGUUGGCUGAUUUAUUGUGAGAGAAAAACACUACUGAGUGGCUAACAGAUUCGGCUGAUAAACUCAAGAAAACGCUAAUGUGCUUGUAGAAUAAAAAAAUCGCAUUUGAGCUUGAUGAUGAUAAGGGGGUUUGUGGGUGCGAGGGGAGAUUUGGUAUGGUGUUACCCAUGUAGCCUCUCUGCAAUCAGAUACGGUGUUGAUAUAGAAUCUUAUAAGAUCAACCUAUGUAGCCUCUCCGCAAUCAGAUACGAUGCUGAUAUAGAAUAUUGUAAGAUCUAUCAAUGAGAACCACUUCAUACUAGUUUAAUCUAUCUAUGCUAAGUUAAUUUAUAUCAUUCUCACUAAGUUUUUUUUUUUGAAAAAAACAAGAAGCAUGUAUCAAUAUAUACAAGUUGAAAUAAACAUACUACCAAGACAUAUUUCAUGUAGAAUUUAAUAAAAGCUUAUUUGAUGAUGCGAAUAUUGGUGCAUUUUUAAUAUAAUCUCUCCACAUACGGAGUGUAUCUCCACAGCCUGGCACGCCGCUGGUUGCGUGGAAACACUAUGGACGUCACACCUUUGCUCCAAACCAAACAAUGCUACUUGGCUAUCAUGAAGUGUGGCGUGGCUGGUCGUGCCUUGCAACAAAACACUCUUAGAGUACACAUGUUUUCUACCAUUUUAUGUUAAAAUUGCCGAUUGGUAGAGCUCGAGAAGUUUAAUAUCAUGAAUUCACUAAGGUCAGUCUCAAUGCAUGUUUCAUGAGAGUGUCAUACACAUUAAAUAGGAUACCACAUAAGCAAAAUUGCUGACUUGGCAGGAUCAUUAAAUGAAGGAGUUUCAUCAGAUGUGAGAGGAGUUUCAUCCCCAUAAAACUCUUGUGGCUCAGUUACCUAGUUACUAGUAUUGUUAACUGUGUCAUUAAACUAUGCAUUGAGACUGGCCUAAUAGUGCCAUGAAUUCAAUACCACUAAAAGUUCGAGCCAAUAAUAAUUUUGGUUUUCUCCUUGAUUAAAACUCCGAGUUGCUAGAUGUUCUUUGGCGAGCAUAGAUGUUUUGUAGAAGAAUAUGGAACUCACAUGGAUUUUGUAUUUUGAUUUCUUGACUAUGUAAAUGUAUACGCUUCAACGCCAUAUAUAAGGAAAACAGAACCAAACAAAAAGGCUUUUAAGCGUGGAAGGAAAAUAUAUAGUGUUUGAGGGGUACACGUGAAGACUUCUCCCGGAGAGGGAAAAAAAAAUUGUAGUAACUGUUACGUUUGACACGAGCACGGUAGAGCCGAGCCGACGCGAGGACGACGACCACCAGUCCACCACCGUCGCUUUUCCUGGCCUUCCAUAUACCAGCACCCGCACCACCUCCACCUCCCUUUCCCUUUCUGGCCGCAUUCCCUCGUCCUCCGGCCGGCAGCCGUCGUCGCCAGCAGGAGCUUCCGAUGGUCCGGAAGGAGACGGCCAUGAGGCUGCCCCCGCAGCACCAGGCGCUGGAGGUCAAGAUCCCCAGCUUCUUCCGCUGCCCGAUCUCGCUCGACGUCAUGCGCUCGCCCGUCAGCCUCUGCACCGGCGUCACCUACGACCGGGCCUCCAUCCAGCGGUGGCUCGACUCCGGCAACACCACGUGCCCGGCCACCAUGCUCCCGCUCCGCUCCACCGACCUCGUCCCCAACCUCACCCUCCGCAGCCUCAUCGCGCACUGGGCCGCCUCCGCCGCCUCCUGCUCCCCCACCGCCACCGACAAUUCUUCGGCGACACGGACCUCUUCCCCCGCGAGCCUCGUCCGGCAGGUGGCUUCCGCCGGCGUCGACCCGUCCCCGGCCCUCCGCGAGCUGGCCGCCUAUCUCUCCGACGACGACGUCGACGACUUCGAAAAGAACGCGCUCUUGGGCGCCGGCCGCGCCGCCGAGACCGUCGCGUCGGUUCUCCGGAGAAGACCCGAGGAAACCGGCGUCGAGGGCGUGGAGGCGGCAACCAGAGUGCUGGCCAAGAUCUUGGCCUCGGACGGCAUCGACGACGCGAACAAGAAGCGGGUGGCCACCGGCCUCACCGCCGACGCGGCGGCCUCGGCCGCGUCGCUAGCGCGCGUGAUGCGCCGCGGUAGCGGCGGCCUGGAGGCGAGGGUCGACGCGGCGAGGCUGGCGGAGCUGCUGCUCGCCAAUGCCGCAGACGAGGCGGCGAAGGCGGCGGUGGCCGAGUCGUCCGAGCUGCUGGCCGAGCUGGUACGGCUCGUGGGCACCGUCGACGAGAAGGGCGCCCUGGAGAGGAACGCCGUGGACGCCGGCCUCUCCUGCCUUGCCGCAGCCAUCUGCGUCUGCGGCGGGUCGCGCCGCGCCUGGGCGCGCGGCGAGAUGGUGCGCCUGGGCGCGGUCCAGGCCGCGGUGCGCGCCCUGCGCGCCGCCACGACGGAGCCCGGCGCGUCCGCGAAGGCGCUCCGCGUGCUCGAGUCCGCCGUGGGCUGCGCCGAGGGCCGCGCCGCGCUGUGCGGUGACGCGGAGGAGGCCAUCCCGGCCGUGGUGGGCAGGAUGAUGAAGUCCGGGCGCGACGGCGCCGAGGCCGCCGUGGCCGUGCUCUGGGCGGUCUGCCACCGGUACCGGGACCGCCGCGCGGCGGACGCGGCCGCGGCGGCGGAGGGCGGGCUGACGAGGCUGCUCCUGCUGAUGCAGAGCGGGUGCUCGCCGGCGGCGAGGCAGAUGGCGCUGGAGCUGCUCAAGAUUUAUAGGGUGAACGCCAAGAGCUGCCUCGCCGGCUACGACUCCAAGACCACCCACAUCAUGCCCUUCUGAGGAAGCGAAGCGGACGAGAAUGGCUUGCCGGAAUCCUUCCUGGGCUAGCUGAUCAAAUGGAUUCGAUGAAUCGAUUAAAUUGCAGGCGAUGGUGUUCUUGUUCCUGUGAUGUUUCUUGAUAUUUUUUUCCAUUUUCUUUUGAUGUAAGUCGAUAGAGAAACAAAGAACAAUUGGUUCAUGGUGGAGGGGAGAAGAAUAAUAAUCUGUACAGUUCAUGGGUAGAGUUUUUGACAUGAUCAGAACAGGCACAGGGGACAACUUAACCAAAGAAUUGAUUUUUUAGGCCAAAGCAAUUGGAAGCGUUUGAUUAUUCCUCCUGAAAGAUUUGCGAAUUUUCAGAGAAAUGAUGAUCGACAGGAGAUGUGGAAUGAUAAGGUUGUUACUGGAAGCAAUAAUGCUUGUUGCUGCUCACAUCAAAACUUACGAAGAAGCUGAACGACGACGAUCACAUCAAAUGAUUUCAUUUCGAAUCAUUGGUCUGCACUUGUGGUAAUGCGUACGUACUAGGUUUUCAUAGAAGUGCUUAUCAGGCAACAAGUUGUAGAAUUGCCUAAUGCAGGAUGUCGUGGUCUGGACUAGAAGGACAGAUUACUCCUACAAAUCCGUAGUCUGAAAGCAAGAUCAACAAGACAUGGGUACAGCAUGCGCACUACUGGCCAUUAGGAUAGAAAAGCCUGGAUGGAGCACGUUCACGUUGCCGCUGACCAGAGCCCAUGAUGGAUUUGACCAGUGUAGCAUCACGUCUAGUUCACUCCACCCACUCAUGACUGACCCACAAGUCAUGAGACCAGAUGUCUUGGGUGAGCUCUAAGCAUAACCCAGCUAUGUAAUCCCAAAGUAUACUCAGUUUGUUUCUCGUCUUCACUAUUGGAAUAAUUUAUAGACCAGAGUGCUUGUCCCCAUGCCCAUCGGUAACCGGUGAAAGGAACGUUUUGUGCAUCAUGUUGCAUGUUUAAUUAGCACUUGAUCACUAGGCAAUCUUCGUGAAAAUGGGCCUAAUUUUCACACCUAGGAUCUUCCGGCUUAGUAUUGUACUCCUUCCAUCCCAAAUUGUAAGUUAUUCCAAGAAUCUUAGAGAGUGAAAUCAUUUUCACGUUUGACCAAAAUUAUAGAAAAAAAUACUAAAAAUUGUAAUGUAAAGUGAGUAUACUAUAAAAAUAUAAUUAAGAAAUAAUCUAAUAAUACUUAGUUCGUACCAUAAUAAUUAUCAUUUUAUAAUAUAAAUUUGGUCAAACUUAGAAAAGUUUGACUCUCCAAGAUUUUUGGAAUGACUUACAAUUUGGGAUGGAGGAAGUAGAUCGUACUGUCUACCAUCACAAUAUAAUUAAGUUCAUUAAUCAGAUACAAGAUCUUCAAUGUGUCAUUUUGACUACACUUAUGUAGGAAUAAAUAUCUUAUCUUAGACAAAAAGGGUUAUAUGCUAUGUUGAAUAUAUAUUAGUAUCAAUAUUAUAUUGUCAAUCUAUAUGAGUCUUUACACAUUGAUUGUCAAAUCUAGAAAAAAACUAAGAAAAAGUUUAGCUUAACACAAAUCUUGAUGUAGUCAUGUUUGUGAUUAGAGAAAGUAACUCCAAAAUGGUCAUUGAGUUAAAGAAAAGCUAAAGUCGUCAUUUACACUCAGGAGUCCGCACUCCGCAUCAAAAAACAUGCUUGCUGGGUCCUUUUUCCACCCGACAUCUAAGAGCAUGGCCAACAUAAGGCCUUGGGCCUUGUUUACUUCCAACCCAAAAUCUAAAAUUUUUUAUGAUUCUUCAUCACAUCGAAUCUUUAUACACAUGCAUGAAGUACUAAAUAUAACGAAAAUAAAAACUAAUUGCAUAGUUUGGUCAAAAUUAACGAGACAAAUCUUUUGAGCCUAGUUAGUCCAUGGUUGGACAAUAAUUACCACAAACAAACGAAAGUGCUACAGUGUCGCGAAAUUUUUCCCUUCACCAACUAAACACGUUGGUGUUGUUAAAUUUUAACUCCUAUCACAUAUUUAGAUAUAUGUAUGAAGUACUAAAUGUAGACUAUUUACGAAACUAAAAACACAACUAGAGAGUAAUUUAUGAGACGAAUUUUUUAAGUCUAAUUAGUCUAUGAUUCGAUACUAAUUGUUAAAUAAAACGAAAAUGCUACAAUAACUAUUAAGCUUUAACACAUCCAACCAUAUCCUAAGAUUUUUGGCCGCCUCAGAAUAAAGUUAACAUACACGUAGAAAAGAUGGAUGGGAGUCACUGAUCUCUCCAGUGCAAGCUAACAGGUUGGUUGAUUCUGCUCCACUGCGGCCUCACUUUUCCCUCCCAAUGUUCGCUCUUGCAUGCCGGCUCCUCUGCAGCCUUAGUAACUUGUUGCAUGGACGUAACUAAAGCAAAAAAAAAAAAAAAAGGUUGGAGGUCUCGGAGUUCUUGACUUAAAACUCACAAUGAGGCACUUCUUCUUAAGCAGUUACAUAGAAUUUUCAUUUGUGAUGAAGUUCCCUGUGUGCGUUUAGUCUGAGAGAAACAUUACUCCAAAGGGAGAUUGCCAAAUCAUACAAAGAAAGGGUCUUUUUGGUGGCAAGAUAUCUUGAAAUUGCUUGAUAAAUUUAAAGGUCUGGCCUCUGUUCAGAUUAAGGAUGGAGCUUUCUGUCUUUUUUGGGAUGAUUAAUGGGAUGGUUAACCUCUCAAACUUUCUUUUCCAGAACUAUUCUCUUUUGCUAAGAAGCCAGUUAUCUCUUUCAAGAGUGUACUUGCUGUGAGUCCUCCUUUUGGCCUUUUCAACUCCCCUAUCGGUUCAGGCUUUUGCUCAAUUUUAGCGCCUGUUUGGAACGUAGUUUUUUCAUAGGAAAAGUAAAGAAAACGAAAACGGAGGAAAGGAAAAUAAGGAGACCGUUUGGAACGAAGGAAAUGAAUGAAACCUUUCCUCCGGAAGACUGUAGCAACAACACGAUUUCACAGGAAAAAAAGCAUCUGCUCUCACCUCUUGUUUUGCUUUCUUUUGCGCUUGCCCGAGAAAAAUCAAACGGGAAGAGAAAGACGAACAGCUAAUCACUAUAAGAACGGAAUGCCCCGCUGCCAAAUCCGGCCACCACGCCACUGCUCCGCUCUAGGCUGGGGCCCGCUGCCUGCGCCUGGCACUGUGCUGCUGCUCCGCCCCAAGCGCGCAGCAGGCUGCUGCUGGUCGCUGCUCCGCUCUGCGUCACGCUGCCGAGUCCGCCGGCAUCAUGCAACUAACACAGUAUAUAUUAUCAUUUUAUUAAGCACUAACAAUGACUCUUUAUCAUUCACAGACUCAUGAUUCCCUUGUUAUGAAUUCCUGUGUUCCAAACACCCCUUUCAAGUUAUUUCCUGUGUUUUUCCUUUCCUCUGUUUUACCACUACAUACUACAUCCUAUUAGAGCAACUCCAACAGCUUUGCUAUUCUUAUUAUGAAGACCUUUUAGAACUUGUAUAGCAGAAAAAUAGCCUCCAACAGAUGUGCUAUUUGGUUUUGUAAAAUAAAAAGUUUGCUAUUCCUUGAUUUUCGUUGGCCAUAUAUAGCCAACCACUGACACUAGCUAUCUGAUAGCAAGGCUGUUGUAGAUCUCUUUUUUUUAAGAAGUUUUUUAUUUUACAAAAUGGCUAAACAUUAGAAUUUGGCAACUAAUUUUAGCCAAGCUCUUGGAGAUGCUCUUACUGUGUUUUUUUCCGUUCCUCCGUUUUCUAUUCCUGCGUUCCAAACAGGCCCUUAAGAGUUGCAAGAAAUCCUGCAGAACUUAGUGCCCAGCAAUGAUUUGGAUACUUGGUACUAUAUUUGGGGAAAUACUUCUUUUACAUCCAAACAAGCCUAUAUUCAUCUAAUGGAAGUAAUGUGGUAGCUCCAAUCUUCAGUUAGAUCUGGAAAUCCUCUUGUCAGCCAAAGCAUAACGUGUUCUUCUGGCUCCUUGUACAGGAUAGGGUCAGUACCAGAAAGUUAUUGAGAAGAAAGCAUAUGUUCCUCCCUUCCUAUGAUUGUAUCUUGUGCAAUGCAAGUUUUGAAGAAAUUGUGGACCAUCUACUCCUAGAAUGUAGCCAUGCCAGGGAAUGUUGGGCCUAGAUUGCCCUAACAGUGAUUAGCUCACCGGACCUGAUCCAAAGAUUUGAAAGCUUUCAAACACAAAUUGCAAAAAUAAUUCUUCAUGGAAGUAAUUAUCAUCAUGUGCUGGAGCAAUUGGACCAUUAGAAAUGAUAAUAUUUUCAAAGGAAUCCUAGCUUGCAGCCUUCGAGACAUAGAAAUCUUCAAAAACAUCUUCAAACAACUCCUAUGGAGAACAAAGAGGAAAUAUUUUCCAGCUAUUGAGUUAUGGCUAUAGCAAGUUGUGUAAUUGCCUUAAUUUUUUUGUUUCCUUCUUUGUCCCCUGAACCCCAACCUCUCUCUCUCCCUUCUCCUUUAAGCUUUUGUAACUUCUCCUUGGUUAUAGUUUUUUUAAUAAAUUCUUCGGUAGAGGUCCUCCUGAGCCUCUCCUGUUUGUUUAAAAACACAUUAGGCCUGACGUGGUGUUCUCUUACUAAGCCUUGGCAAGGGAAACGAAUUCAUGUAUGUAUGCUUCAAUUUAAACAGUUAACAUCUCGUCCUAGUUGUAGCUUAGCUGCUUAGCGCAUGUUGUGAGUUAGUGCCACAUUGUUCAACCUGAGUAGAGGGCGACGGGAGUGAGUUCUUAGUAGGACCUAGGGCAACAUUUGUAGUUCAAUUCAUCCAUGCCCUUGGUCAUUUUGGUUGAGACUGAAUUGAUUUACAAUUAUAUAUACUCCCUUCGUCCUGGAAUAGAGUACAUUCUGGCAUUUGAGAUGUGUCCCCAAAUAUAGUACAUUCAAGGAACAAGAAGAUAAUCUUUACUUAAAUAAAGUUAUGGAAGAGAAAAGUGAUUGAGUGCAUGCCAUAUUUUCUAUAAGAAAACUUAGAUUGCACCCCUUAAUCAUGCGAAUAGGAUCAGAUUUCAAUAGAUUAGGAAGUUAAGUAAGGAGCACAUGUGUCUAUUGUCUUCUCUCUUAUUUUAUCUUAGAAUAGUCACAACGCACAGUAUUGCAGGACGGACGGAGUAGAUAUAGAUAUAGAUACAAAAGAUGUCUUUUUUGGCUCAGAAAAAGAAUUAAUUCCUUUUUAAAUUAAAGGUUUGAAUCCUUAGAAAAACCGAUCCAAAACAAUGUUUUAUAGGUGUCCGAUAUUAGUUAGAUAUAUUUUAUUCAAUUUUUAGAUAUAUGUUUUUUGGGUAUAUUUUAUUUGUAUAUCUAAUUUUUAGAUAUGUAAUAUUGGUAAUAUUUUAUUUGUAUCAGAUACCCCACAAUGUAUCUGGAUUGGAUUUAUAUCUGCUAAUAAUAUCUAAGAAAAAUAUCUAAAUCAAUAUUAGAGACUCUUUUGGAUGGUACUAAAGAAAAAUUUGUACCAUUUACAUCCUUGGCUUCACCUACCAUUGCAACUUUGGACACUAUUUUGUAUUAUAUUGCUUUUCUAGCAAAAAUGGCUCUGGGUUUACCAUAAAAAAAUGAACUACCGACUUGCUUGGGACAGAAAUAAUUUGUUGAUUGUUGUUGAAUAUAUUUUAGAGACUCAAAUAUUCAAUUUUAAAAUUUAGGUUUUCGAAUCUUUGAAAGGAGGUCGGUUAUCGAUAGUAUGUGUCAAAGUUGUGGUUUUAGUAAGACCUAUAACUUUAUAGCUGGCAACUUUUAAAUCUGAAUUCAUUGAGAGACUUAAAUAUUGGUUUUAAGUUCUAUAAUCCUGAAAAAAAAAAUUGAAUUUUUCGAAUGAUCUCACGUGUUGGUUUGGUCCACACAAAGUUGUAGCUCUCAAUACGUUAUUCAAUUUUGUAGUUAAUAAUAUCUUUUGUAUCUAGAAUCGUUUAGAGACUCAAAUUUGCUGCGGCGCCAUGUGCCAUCCACAGCCUUUAUCUGAUACUCAAGAGAUAGCCCUAUUGCUAUAUGCUAGUUUUUUCUUGCUCUUCACUGCGAACCUGCGUCACUUUUCUUGACUGAUGAUGACUAAAGCUCAAUCUGAAAUUGUAUUAUUGUUGGAAGGAAUCUCUCUGUAAGACACAAAUGUUUCAGUAACAAAAAAUGAUGGUACGGAAUCAUUCAGUAAACACACACCAACCUAAAAAAAAUAUGGCGCUUCUUCUUCUCAACGAUGAGUCUAACUGACGAGAUAUCUUGUCAAAAAAAAAAAACUGACGAGAGAUAAUAAUAUGUAGUGUAACUGUGUACCUGGACCUGAAGAACUUUACAAACCUCCAUUCUAGUGUAGAAAACGCAUCAAUUGUACAGUAUGUUGGAGAAAAAAAAAGAUUUAUGCACCACUUUUUACUAAAAAAAUAAUCUAUGACCACCAAAUGGUAUAGUUAUCCGCGUAAAGCUUGGGCUGUUUGUUUGCAGCAGACUGAGAAGGGGAAGCAGGAAGGAAGAACGAGGCAGACAGAGGUAGGCGAGGAAGGAUUCAGAGAGUUCAAUUCAGAGUUUUCUUAUUCGAUGCUUACGACUCACGUCUCUUCCCUGUUUAAAAAGUUUAUUUUGCCUUCCUCAACUAUCGUAAAAAUCAGUUUUUUCUUCAUCUCUAAACCAGACAUAGUUCCUCUCUCAUCUCUCAAAACCAGUCACUUUACCUCUAUGACUGUUUCCAUUGGUGGUUUUACUAUUUUAUUUUUAUGUUUAUUUCGGCUCAAUCUUCGAAAAAAAUUAUAAAAUAGAAAAAUUCAAUUGUGUUGGACUCUACAUGAGUAGAUCUACAUAGUGAGCAUAUGAUAUGAUAUGCUUUAGUAUAAACUUUUUUUUUGCUAAGUUACAGUUUAUCUUGUCCAAUUAUAUGAAACUUUUAUGUUGGAUUAAUAAUUUGCGUGCUUGAGACGUACUAAAGAAAAUCACGCCCGUUGGAUCAUAUAUGACUAAGUUAUAGAUUUAUCUUUUAAUUUAUCUAGGUUUAUAUAUAUAAAAAUAUAACUCAGUCAAACAUGAUCCAUUAAGUAUGAAUUUUUUUCUACAUCUCAAUAAUUCAAUGAUGAGCCCACCAUAAACAUUUUGCCAAAAAUCGACCAUAGAAAUUGGAGCUAUGAAUUAAUUACAAAAAAGUAUAGAUCUAAAGUUACAACAAAAACUUUAUACUAAAACAUACUAUAGUGUAUGUCUAUUGUGUAGAUAUUAACAUGUGGAGUCUAAAAAAAUUCAUACCAUUGGAUCAUGUAUGACUGAGCUAAAGAUUUAAUUUAAUUUAAAACUUAUUUAACAAGAUACAUCUAUAACUCAAUCAUGCAUUAUUCAAUGAGCAUGAAACUUUUAUUGUGGCUCAAGAAUGCAAUUAUUAGCCCACCAUAAAAAUUUCACCAUAAUUAGACCACAAAAACAACAGCCAUGAAUUAAUUACAAAAAACAUAAAUAUAAAGUUAAAACAAAAAAAAAUUAUACUAAAGCAUACUCACGUGGAAUCUACUCACGUGUACUAAAGCAUACUCACGUGGAGUACCAUAUCAUAUGUUCAUUGUAUAAAUCUACUCACGUGGAAUGCAACAUAAUUGGACUUUUCGUUUUACAAUUUUUCUGUGAUUUAGUAUGAUUUUUUCAAAGAUUCAGCCGAAAUAAACACAAGAGAAGUGACUAGUUUUGAGAGAUGAAGGAGGAACUAGUCUGGUUUUAGAGUUGAUGAAGAAAAACUGAUUUUUGUAAUAGUUGAGGGGGUUAAAAUGGAGUUUUUCGUUUCCUAUUACAACACUCUGGGCCGGCGUAGCGGGUGUUGAGCCUUAUCUAGCGCUUGGGCCUGGCAGCAGAAGUCAUGCAUGACUCUGCUGUCGGGCCAACAACCCAACAGAAUGGCACUACACUUUCAGCGGAUAUUGGGCCAUCGGAUUAACCGGUCCAAUCUGCUGCCAACAACAACAACAACCACCACGGAAAGUGACCAAGUUCCUGCGGUGUUGGGCCAGCCAAGUCGUCAGUCAGUCCAAUGGUGUGGGCUAGUCCGUCUAAUGGUCAGUCAGUCACAGUUAGACGUGGCUUUGUUCCCUUAUCUUUUAUACCUCACAGUAUUCUUCUUUCACGAUAAAUCAGCGAACGCUCUCUUUUAGCUAUAACUUUUCAGACAAGCUAAUACAUGUCUCCUUGCUACUCCUUCCUACACGCUGGAUUCAUGACGCAACGUACGGGAAAAAGACGCAACUCGCCAGCACGUCGCUCAGGAAUCAGGAGCAGAAAUGUCAACAGGUGUAGUAACAAAUUAAAUUACUGAUGAGAGCGCACUGGUUGUUCGUCGCACUAUGCAGAGCUCCCCGCUUUCAUCUGGUACAGGCGAGUGCAUAAUUUUACAUUAAACAGACAGCCCUGGGAAUGUGGCAUGGGUAGUAGCUAGACUCGUUCCGUCCAACAGCACUGCUGCAUCCCCGUGGUCAUCGUGUACUGCGUAGUGUAGACUAGUGGUAAUUACUAUUCUAAUGGAAUAGUAAUUGAACAUGCGAAUCCAAUUUGUACUCGCCAAUACCAAGUCAUCUGACAUCCCCCAUGCCUGCUUGCGUUGAAACCCGAGAUCGGCUCUCAAGUAGGCGUAGUCCCGACUGAGAGGUAUGGACGGAUCGACUAUGGACAGAGGGAAGAGGGAGGCUUCAUCAAAUUUACGCAGUGUAAAUACUGGUGAAUAAUAACCCACGACACAGCCAUUAUGUGCACACGGUGAAAACGGCGAGUGUGCUCCGCAUUCAUGCCCAGCCUAAAUAAACAGUGAAGUGGUCCUGCUCGUUGUGAUGACGAGGCUUCCUAUAAGUACCAGUACCACCUAGUAGAUGCUUAUCUGACUGGCCGUAUUCGUGGGAGCCAGAUUCAGUAACUUUACAGAGCAAAGUCACGUUGUAACUUUCUUUGAAUCUCCAUCCUCCAGUUAGCAUCGGACGGCUACAAUACUUCUUGAGGCCCAGUUCCGUUCCCGCACGAAAGCGGCCGCGCGCCAGAGUCCGCAGGAGCGCCGUCGCCCGUCGCCAUCGCUAUCACGGACGGCCGCAGCUGCCACCAGAAGCCGCACCCACCGCCAGAGCCUGUAGGAGUGCCAUCGACCAUCACUGUCGUGGGCAGUGCGUGCAGCAUUGUGGAUGCCGCGGCCUCAACCGUGUCGCUGGCUCGCGGAAUGCGCGAUUGGAGCGAGGAUCGACGUGGGUAGGCUGGCGGAUUUCUUGCUCGCCAAUGUGGCCGACGACUCGAAGGCAGCGGUGCCCGGCCGAGUCAUCCGAGCACUCCUACAGGCUGCCAUUUUCUAGUCGCGAGUGCGCGGCGAGCGUCGAGUGAUGCGCCUGGCUGCAGCCCCGGCCAUGGUGCACGCCACGACGGAGCUCGGCCAGUGCUGCUACUGCUGGUGCAAGAGCUCGCCGGCAAGGGGACAACAAAUAACAUGGCCACCAGGUUCGUCGCGUAUGCAAGAGUCGCCAUGCCGAUACAUGCCAUCGACUUGGUUCUUGCCUGUUCCGGCCAGGCGACAUCCUCACCUUCAUGCUCUGUCGUCGCCAGGACGCAUCCACGUGCAUCCAGCAGGCAGCUUCCCAGGUUAAAAUGGCCAAGUUCAGAGAUUGCUUUUGCUUGAGAUCACUAGGUCCAUUAGAUUUUGAAUGGACGCACCAGAUGAACGGAAAGUUACAUCGUGACUUUAUAGAGUAAAGUCACUGAAUCCAGCUCCUCGUAUUCGUGAGCUUCCAGAGAGGUCCAUUAUUUUCAGGAUCACCAGCACCCCCCUCCCGCGUGGCUCCUACAGUAGAAAGCCCGUACACCACGUACGCCGCCGAAUCAUGGCGCGCGUGCUUUGCGUCAAAAGCAAGGGCUCGCUCCGUCCUAUCCUUUUCCUAUCUCGUCAGUCAUCCAUGCCAAUCAGAUCCAUCGCAGCAGCUAGCAUCUCCAUGCAUUUGCAUUUGCAUCCACGAGCGAGAGCGAGACCAUGCAGUGCCGGCCCUGAAUUUUUUGAGGGCCGGGGCGGAAAAAAAAUCUGGGGGCUUUAUACAUUAUUAAGUUCCCAAAAACCAAAAAAAGUUUAAAAUUUUUCGUCACAUCAAAUCUUACGGCACAUGCAUAAAACACUAAAUAUAGUCAAAACCAAAACUAAUUACACAGUUUGCCUGUAAAUCGCAAAAUGAAUCUUUUGAGCCUAGUUAGUCCAUGAUUGGACAAUAAUUGCCAAAUAAAAACGAAAAUGCUUCAGUACCUAAAACAAAAAAAUUUAGGAACUAAACAAGGCUUAAGGAAAUUUUUUUGGUUUUAGCUACUGUAGCACUUUUGUUUAUAUUUGGCAAUUAUUGUCCAAUUAUAGACUAACUAGGCUCAAAAAAUUCGUCUCACCAAUUACAGGUAAACUAUGUAAUUAGUUAUUUCUUUUAUCUUUAUUUAAUGCUCCAUGCAUGCGUCUAAAAAUUCAAUGUGAUGAGAAAUCUUAAAAAAUUUUAGAAACUAACAAGGUUGUAGUUGUUGUUAUUCUAGGCCUGAUUGGUUCCUCUCGCUAAAUUUUAGUCACUUUAAUAGCUAAACUUUCAAACACAUUAACUAAAAAAGAGCUAAAAUAGUUUAGUUACACAAGUCACCCAAGAGUAGCUAAAAUAGUUUUAGCUGGCUAAAAUUUAGCAGGAGAAACCAAAUAGGGCCUAAAUAUUCUACAUCGUAAGCCAAAACUAAGCAGAAAAAAUACAGAAUAGUAUUGAACAACGUUGAAUAUCAUUGUUUAAUAUAAUAGUUCGGAGGUGUAGAAUAGUACUUGUAUAUAUAUACUCAUAAAUACUUAACUCUACAUGCAAAAGCAAUAUUCAUAUGCAACAAUUUAUAUAAAUAUACAAAUACAUUAAAGAUUAUUGUAUGGUUUGCAUAUUUGGGGGUGGGGCCCUGUCUAAUUGGGGGCCAGGGCGGCCGCCCCGCUUGCCUGCCUCCAGGACCGGGCCUGAGACCAUGCUAUAUAUAUAUAUAUAUAUAUAUAUAUAUAUAUAUAUAUAUAUAUAUAUAUAUAUAUAUAUGCAGAUUUGUGUGCCAGCUAAGCCGGCAGGUGGCCUGGCCCGAUACGGAACAUCUGCGAGCCCUGUAGAUAUCCCGGCUGACAGGUGGAGUCGAGUCCAAUCUCCGGAGAUUAGCGGGAGAUGGAUGGAUAACCUCGUGGGAUCAGCGGCGGAGCCAGGAUUUAAAUCUUGGGUAUUCCUAGUGUCUGGUGGGCCACCACUCAGUUGUUGCCUCUAACCUCAUGACCGACGUAUGUCUUCACCGGUCGCCAUGUAGACAUAGCAUAGAGACAGAGGCCGCGUCCGUGCUACACGCUUCUAGGAUGAGAGUAACUACACGCGCGUGUAAAAGAAACGCGUCCUAUAUAUAUAUAUAUAUAUAUAUAUAUAUAUAUAUAUAUAUAUAUAUAUAUAUAUAUAUAUAUAUAUAUAUAAAAUAGGGUGAGUUUUCUAUACUCCUAGGAGGAGUAGUUACUCCCACUAUAUUUAUUGGGUAUAUGUCCAUUAUCAAAACCCGUUAAAUACUCCUGCACUUUUGUGUAGUUGUUGUGCCCGCUUGCAUGCGGACGAAGAGCCACAAGACGUUACAUGUCCAUAUUUUGUGGCGUAUGUUUGUUGCUUCUUUCAAAUAAAAUAAAAUGGAUACUAAAUUCUUUAUUGACGUAUAUAUUUUUGUGUAAAUAAAAUAUGGACACUAAGAAAAUUUGUAUACUUAUACUUGGGAGUAUAUCCAUAUACUUCGGAAAUUAUUUUAGUAUAUCCAUAUACUCAUGGAAUUUUAGUAUAUCCAUAUACUUGAGCGUAUAUUUGGGAGUAUGUCCAUAUACUAAUGAGAUUUUAUUAUAGAGUAUAUGAACUAUUUAUAGGAGAAAAAAAUAGUAUGCUAAAUGUGCACAUAUUUUUUUUACACGAGUAGUUCGCAAAUAUUGAUAUGAGUAUACUAGUAUGCGUACAGACUUUUGACAGGAGCUGGCCGUGAGUUUCCGUCCCGAUCGGAAGUGACGGAUGGGGUGAAGCAGAUCUGAGAUCUGCUAGCUAUAUAUGUACGUAUUUAUAUUCAAUAUUCAAAAUACGAACGGGUCCGUUUUUUUUCUUUAACCCGCUAACGAGAACCCAGCGCCACGUUAGAGCAACUCCAACCAUUAUGCAAAUGGAAUUGACAUUUACCAAAAUACAUAAAACUCCAAAAAAAACCCCUCCAAUCGUUAUGCAUUUGGACUUUGCAUUUUACAUAGCUAUGCAUUUGGAGGGGGAAACUUGGCAUAUAUGCCAAAGAAGUCCGGCUAUGUAAAUAGAGAUCACGGGAUUCUCGGUUCCACCUCGCAGGCUUUUUUCUUCCCUUCGCGCGGUUUCCCUUCGCGCCGCCACCACUUCGCGCGAUUGGAGAAGCAUCGCGCGUCCUCCUUCGCCAGCUUGACUGAUGGCGGCGACCUGAUGGAGAUCGAUACUGGAGCCAAGGGGCGAACCUAUACGACGACAAACUGAUGGCCAACAGACGACGAACUGGUACGGUGAACGAGAACUAACGGAACGGGAGAUCGGUACUGCGAUCGGUACUGCGAACGGGAACGACGAACUGCGCAGCUCACAAUCGGUACUGCGCGGCUGUUUGGCGCGGGAAUUGGUGAACGGGAGACGACGGCGGGCUGUUUGGCGCGGGAUCGAUUGACCGCGCGGGAAGGAGUGCCGCGAAACAAAAUUUUCGGAAAAAAAAAGAAGAUGGACUCGGCAUUUUGCAUAACGGUUAGAGAUCACCCGAUUUUAGCCUUGUUAUUUUUAUUUGGGGGUUUGCAAUUUACCUAAAAUGCAUAACUUCAAAUGCAUAAUGGUUGGAGAUGCUGGCUCAGUCGUAUAAAUCUAGGUGGGAGUAGCUACUACCAGGGAGUAGGAAAAAUUUACCAUAUAUAUAUAUAUAUAUAACCUAUUCUACACCCUAGGUGUAGAAUAUUAUUUUACACCGCAAAUCAAAACUGAGUAGAAAAAAAUACUGAGCAACACUGAAACGCGUUCAGUAUCAUCUAAUACUACACUCAGGACCACGAAAUACUGAACAAUACUGAAACGCGGAUACUGAACAAUACUGAAUUCUGCUCAGUAUAACAGUUUGGUGUGACGGAGAAUUUUGAAAAUUUUUACGAACUAAACAAAGCCUAACUUUGCUCGAAAUGACCAUACACUUCGUAUAAAAUACGUCAUGCUUUGCGCUUACCAAAGUUUCCCUUUUUUUCACUGGGGUUAGGCCUUGUUUAGUUUACUCUGAAAACCAAAAAUUUUUCAAGAUUCUCCGUCACAUCGAAUCUUAUGUCACAUGCAUAAAACAUUAAAUAUAGACAAAAACAAAAACUAACUAUACAGUUUAGCUGUAAAUCACGAGACGAAUCUUUUGAUCCUAGUUAGUCUAUGAUUGGAUAAUAUUUGUUACAAACAAAUGAAAUGCUACAGUACCGAAAACUUUUCACUUUUCGGACUAAACAAGGCCUUAGUAGAGAAAAGGCCUCUCAUUCGAUGAGGAACUUUCUAGAAGUACGCGAGAAUCUCAUCUGCUCGAACGAAAGAAUUACAUACACCAAGUGCCAAGGACAGACAUAUACAUACUAUAAUAUGGAUUGUCAUGUAUGCCCAUGCCAGGAGGUGGGUUGAAAAAUUUCACAGUACAAUCAUGCAUACACUUAAUAAUGGUAUACAAAGCAGUACAUAUUUGAUAUUUUGCAGUACAGAUCCAGAACCAUAGCACCGUAGCACGUGCCCUCGGCCUAAUGUUCCCUUAAAGGAACUAAAGAAAAGCUCUGUUAAUUGCAGUCAUCACACAUUCUCACUGCAAUGCAAGAUACUGUGUCACAGUCAACCUUUUUCUUGUGUGCAGGCAAUGCACGGACCCACACACUGCACUCGUAAUUUAUGUAACACUCUCGUGAUGGUCAUGCAUGUUACUAGCAACUUAUGUGAGACUGCAAAUCUCUGCAACACUGCUGCAAAAGGGUUGAAAAAUGAAAAGCAGACCUAUGGGAAUGUGCUUUCAUUUUCAUAUUCAUGAUAUACUGGCAAAGCGAUGCUAUUUUCAUUGUGGCCUUGCAUGUGCAGCGAGGGAGCACCUUUCAAUCGCAGUGGCACCCAACCAACCAAGCCUUGCCAUUUGCCAAACCAUAUACCUUGCGGUAACAUUGCUAUGAUACUAGCUAGCUAGCUGGCGCGCGAGAUCGAUCUUUUUCUUGCCAUUUCAGGGCACCGAGACGUGCAUGCCAAACCUAGCUGAGCAACAGCAACAGCUUUGGAGGUAUAUAUAUGUAGUGAACCAUGCAUGAUACCAAAGAGCUGGCUAUAGCUAUUCAGGCCUUGUUUACUUCAACUGAAAAACUAAAAAGUUUUUCAAGAUUCUCCGUCACAUCGAAUCUUGUGGCAUAUGUAUGAAGCAUUAAAUAUAGACGAAAACAAAAACUAAUUACACAGUUUGUCUGUAAAUCACGAGACGAAUGUUUUGACCCUAGUUAAUCUAUGAUUGGAUAAUAUUUACCACAAACAAACGAAAGUACUACAAUAGUAAAAUUUAAAAAGUUUUCACAUCUAAACAAGGCCUCAGUCGUCUCCUUGGUGUGAAAUGGAUGAAACUGUAGGUGUUCUGUAUGCAUGCAUCAUAGCAAGAUAUGUACUAGUUCCUAUUGCUGAUGAGCUCACUCGAGCAGUCGAGCUGCAUUGCUGCAUGUUACAAAAAAGAAAAAAAUCUUCAGUCGGUUCAUCAGUCCCGUCUCACCUUGCUAAGGCCACAUUUGGAACACAGAAAUCUCACAAAACAGCAGAAAAGGAAAACUAUAGCUAAUACGACGAAACAUUUGGAACACAGAAAAUCUCAAAAUACUUUAUUGUACAUGAAACAGGUUACGCAAAAAAAAAAAAACUAUAGCUAAUACGACGAUUCCCACCGACAGGAUGCAGGUUACCGAGACACAGUCUUAUGUAACCCUCGGAUAUUUUGGUUCUGGAAGUACUGAUGGUGUCCGCCAAAACAAACACUCUAGUGCGUGCCGCUGGGCGAUUUUCAGGGCGGUGUUUGUGCCUGUGCGUGGCCACACCAAUAAAGACGAGCUGAACAUGAGGAGGACGAGAGCAUCUCGAUCUCGAUUUCCGGGGAAAUGAUCGAUUUCGCCUGUUUUCCUGUGGUUUUUGUUCGGCGGACGGACGGGGAGGAGGGGGAAGAAGACAACCGGCUCAGCUUUUUCAGCGACGAUCAAAAAUGCCUUUGCUCUUUUGUCAAAAAAAAAAAAAAGCCUUUGCUCAGAUGAAUGCACAUGCAGAGCUUCUCGUCGUCGUCAGCGAUUUGUGGGUGGGCAAGCAACAUCCUCUCCCUUUCCUCCUGCAGAACCGCGUAACAUUUUCACACUACACGAGCUCCUUGCACUUGCAGAAUGAGGGGUGUGUGUGUGUCUACUCAAAAUUUCUGCAACUUUCCCUAGGGCAGAACGAGAGAACAUGCUGAAAUGCUCUGGGUAAGGUAAAACAAGAGCCAAAAUGCACAAAAGCAUACUUAGACCUUGUUUAGUUUUACAAAUUUUCUUUUUGUCCCAUCAUAUUGAAUCUCUAGACACUUGUACAUAAAAAAUUACACAAUUUACAUGUGAUUUAUGAGACGAUUUUUUAAGUUUAAUUAAUCUAUGAUUAGAUAUUAAUUGUCAAAUAAAACAAAAAUAUUAUGGUAGUUAAAUCCAAAAAAGUUAACGAACUAAACAAAGACUUAAUAACGAAGCCAUAUUCCUAAAAGGUGGCAGAUGUGGAUCCAUUAUUUCACUGCUUAUCUUCGGUUGAACACAUUAGUUAUAUGUAGGGAUGAAAACGGAUCGGAUACGAACGGAUAUCACUGAUAUCAUAUUUGUUUUUAUAUUUUUGGUCGGAUUCUGUCACACCCGAUUUUAAAGAACAAAACCAGGCUAGCCAUAUGUGUGCCCAGGAAGUCCACACAUACAACAACAGAAGCAAUAAUAUCAAAAACAAUGUUAUAUAGCGGAAACAUACUUAUAAUUAACACUUACAUCAGAGAAUCGUAACACAAUAACUAAUCUUCAGGCUCAAUCUUCACAGGGACGACUGACUGGGGGUAACAUAUGCCUAGCACUUCUUGUAUCCUGAUAACGUCCUUCGUAACUCCUUCGCUCCUCUGAUAACUCUUAGUAGUAUACUGGAGUGGUGGGAAAUAGCAAGAGUGAGCACAUAUCGUACUCAACAAGUAUAACCAAGGGUUCAUGAGGCUCAAAUGGCUGACACUGGUUUAACUGCAUUUAGCUUUUAAUAGUGGAGAGCAUGUUCAUAAUUUAAUAGCAAUUGUCAAGGUAGCAGUAAUAAUCCAUUAAUCACAUGAUCAAGUGUAAGCAUAAUUAAUUAUUAGCAUAAACGAUAAUCAAAUGAACAUAACAACUUAACAAGCUCAUCGUCGUCGCAGCAAGAACCCCCAAGGCCGCUCUUAACCGUGAGCACGGCUAGUAUACUAGUUUUAACACUCUGCAGAGGUUGUACAUCUUUACCCAUGAGUCAUGAUUUACCCUUUCGCCCGAGGUGAUCAGCCUCUUAACCCACUCCCAAGGAAGGUCGGCAGGGAUCACUAUGAAGCCUUUCAAAAGUUCGUCUAACAUGUUAGGGCCGCAAGGUUUCCUUUGCGAGCAGAUAUAGAUACCCCCCUUCCGAAUGGCACAAUGACGCGCAGCCUAUACACAUAGGGACAGGGGCUCGCACUAUACCCGUGUCGGUUCAGCCCCUCCGCCCUUUCGGGUAACCUCUAACAAGCUAGAAAAGGUCUUCAUACUGAGCUAAAGCCAGAGCCAUUAUAGCCCUCAUGGUUGCACUGUUGUCCCGGUGAUCACUUACAGACAAGAUCUCAUAUAGUUAUUUGUCAUCUUUUAACGUUCAUUGCAUAGCUAUUAAUCAUCUUACAAGAUCAUGGAUUAUAUCAAGCACUAGCACAUCUACACCAAAUGCAUAUCAAGUAGGUAACAAGGAAUCCAGGUAACAAUCAUCUAUGAUUUUGCUAAGGUCGACAAGGUGAUAGCAUGCAUAUGACAUAUAUGUGUAGUUAUAAGUGAAUAGGUAACAAGGAUGAUCCCAAGUUAUACUUGCCUUAAACACUUGCUUAAUCCUCACAUCAUCAGCUUUCUGUCAUCAUCUUCUGAUCUUCAAUGCCCACAAACAGUUCUCGUCUACUCGCAUGAAGCACCACGCAUAGGCAAACAUACAAAGCAACAAAUAAAAGAAACUAAGAACAACACACCAAUCAAAAAAAGAAAGCCUUAAAAGAGAGCGCACUAAACGUUACGGGUCGAUGCUAAGGUUAUGAGAAACGCCGAAAGCAAAACUAUCGUAAUAAAGAAAUGACUACCUGUAGUUUUGGAUAAUUUAAAAGAGACAACAAUGAUCUUAAUAUGUUUUAUUUAAGAACAAUCAUGCGUAACCUACUAAUUCAAAUUAGUCAAAUUAUAUUUUAAUUUUAAAAACAAAGUAGAACUUAUUAUAUUUUAUUUAUGAAUAUAUCUAUUAUAUAAUCGAUAAUCAUAUUUUAAAUAUAGGCAUGCAAGCAUCAUUUUAAUCAAAGUAAACUUUAACUUUUUAAAGAAUAUGUGAGAACAUCUAUUCAAAUUAUACAUGAUACGUGUUGGAGAUGAUCAUAUGUUAUUCAUACAUAAUUUUAUAUCGUUUAUGCCAGUUAAACUUUAACUUAUAAAAUUACGUAACAUGUGAGCACUAAAAUAAGUUUAUGGUAUAUAUCGUGAUUGUCUAAGCAAAAUAUAAUUAAAACAUAUUCAAGUUGCUAUUAAUUAAAUUCAUGCUCACAUAAUUACAAAGGAUAGACAAACCCAUAUUAUUUUAAUUAUAAAACUAACUAUAAGGAUAUUGAGCAAUUAAAUAUUUAGAAAUAUAUAGAAAACAUGUGACAUGAAAAACACUAGCACUAACGCGUAGAUUACAUUGAUAUGAGUCUAAUGCAACUUGAACAAACAAACUCAGAGUUAAAAUGAGUAUUUUAUAGCUAAAACAAGCUAAUGUAUUUUCUCUAUAUUUCUAGAUUUGUUUUUCUAAAGGAAAACGGUGACAAAACUUAUCCACGACAUCACGUAUUCAUGGAGCAAAAAGAAAUUCUAAAUCUGAUUUCUUUUACCACCGAUUAACAAAAGUAAUACAUAAAUGUUGAUUUCUCGCUCGAUCCGCGUGCACUGAAAAUUCUGAAAUUCACCCACAAACCACAGUCCUAAUUACCUUGAUCCAUGUGUGUCGGUGAGAGUGAAAGCCAGAGAACGCAGCGCCGGGCAGCGGUAAUCGGUAACAGCAGCAUGGACUUCCACCUCUGCACAGUACCACCGAUCAACACAGAGGACAACAGUUUCUGCAGUGCGCCGAUUGAUGAAACGGAGGAAAUCGACGAGCAGAUGAAUUCGUCCAACAGCCGAAAAAUACUGUACCCGAUGACGACUGCGGUGGCCAGGAUGGAGUAGGACGGCAUGGCUCUAGGGGAGAUUAGUCGGCACCGGCGGCGGCAGAUACGAUCUAGGGCAAAAGCAAGAGCCUGUUCUGUUGCAAGAUAUAUAUAUAUAUAUAUAUAUAUAUAUAUAUAUAUAUAUAUAUAUGCUAGAAGAUAUGGGCCAUUUUAAGAUCAAAAAGGAGUUGGCUUCCUGGUCUCCCUACGAUAAGACGUCGGACAAAUUGAGCUGCGGUCGGAUGGUGGGUUUGAGCCCAAAUUAGCAAGAAUUUUACACAAAGUAAAAGGGAGCUUUAACAAAAGCAUGACAAACUCAUGGGUGAAUUGGAAGAUGAAUCCAAAUAAAGUAUUUAGAGCUCAUGAAAAGAUAUCUAGGAGCAUCUAGAAAUUAGAUUAUGCUCAGAGUCAAGUGGAAAUAAAUUCCAGGAAAAAUGCUGAAAAUAAUUCUUCAUACGUUUUAAUAGGUCGGUUCAUGGAAGGUGUACCCAAAGGAAUAAUUUAAAAUAGAAUAAAGGGAUAUGGAAACUCUAAAUAAAAAGAUUAAUGAUCAAGAAAGAGAAGACUUGAUUAUAUAGAAAAAAAACUGGAGACACGCCGGAUAGAGAUCAACGACUUACUAAACGCGCUUAUUAAAACUGCACCCGCUCACAACACAAAGUCAAGCGACAAGCAAGCAUCACCUCACAUCAACAAAAGCUCAUCAAGUUAAUUCAAAACAAAUUUGAAAAUUAACAUUCUCCUAUAACUAAAUUUGCAGUGACUCCAAACUAAACUUGGUAAAUUUUAUCCAAAUAUCAAAAUAUAUAUUUUUGUUAAUGUUUUCUACGCACAGCCCAAAAUCAAAAAUUUUGGGGUGUGACAGAUUCGGAUUCGAAUACGGAUAAUAUCAACAAUGUCGGAUAAGAUACGAUUGGAUGUUGACAUCAUAAAUAUACGAUUUAAGUAUUCGGAUACGGAUACGGUAUCGGAUAUUAAACAUUCAGACUCGAAUACGGACAGAUCUCAACCCCUCUAAACGAAUUCGGUCUCGAAUACGGUCGGAAAAUAUCCGUACCAUUUUUAUCCCUAGUUAUAUGACUUUAAUUUUACCGUCGAUGAGAGGGUAAGUGGGCAACACGGUAUAUAUAUAGUAGUAGUGUGUCAGUGUAAGAUUAGACCUUGUUUAGUUUCAAAAAAUUUUCAAAAUUCCUCGUCACAUCAAAUCUUACGGGAUAUGCAUGAAGCAUUAAAUAUAAAUAAAAAAAAGAUAACUAAUUACACAGUUUAUCUAUAAUUUGCAAGACGAAUCUUUUGAUCCUAAUUAGUCUAUAUUUAAAUAAUACUUAUCAAAUAAAGCCGAAACUGCUACAGUAGCGAAACCCAAAUUUUUUCGCGGAUUAAAUAUGUAUAGUAAAAGAAUUGUUACAAUACCUCUCAAAAUCUUUAAAAACACUCAUAGUUGGUAUCACGAACAAAUAUUUUCUGAUUCCUAUGAUUUUCAAUUCAUCGAUUUUUUAUCUUAUUUAUCGCUAAGUAGGUGUGUAGUUUAUUGCAGUUUACUUUAGAGGUGUCCUGUCUAAUUUCUGAUUCAUGUAUUUCUUACGUUUGUCAGUUUACAUACCUAACCCAAGGUUGUUGAUGUCUAUUCACGUACGUGGUAACUUAGGAUGUGUUAGCUAGCUAAUUUCUUAUUCAUGAGCUAAUUGUUAGCGAGCUAAUUGUAGCUAGCUUAAAAUUAGUUCUAGUGUAUCCAAACAUGAGUGCUAAUAGGACUAAUUUUUUAAGCUAAGUUUUCAACUAGUUAGUCAGCUAGCUAGCCAACCAUAGAUAUUUCGAACCAAAUUUUAGCUUAAGUACCAAUAACUAGCCAUGUAUCAAACAAUCCCUAAGUAGUCCAUUCCCCACAGUUGACGUCUUGGCGCCACAUACUUUCUUGGAGGCGUUGUUCUUCGAGCCCCAUGCUCGUAUGCCAUCAUGGCCAGAUUCAAGGGCGAAAGUCCCGUCUUGGGUGUCUCUAAGGCCAAUGCGACGCGUCCAUAGUUUCUAUGAGCGUCCUCCCCUUGCUGAAGUGGCCUUUCUACCGUCGGCUUCUCAGGAGUCCCUGACUAUACCUGUUGUGUUUCAUUUCCACUUGCUUUGGUCUAUUCUGCAGUUGUUGAUAGAGCGAAUCUAGGAUAUUAUGUCACUGGGGUCAAGGACUAAACAACGGGGUCAACACACAUGUUAAUUCUCUAUUUAAAAGAAUAAUUUGCAGGUCGAUUAAAGAGCUUUAAGUGAAUUUUUGGCAAGUUAUCGGGGUCAGCUGACCCCAAUGAAUACACAUAGAUUCGCCUCUGGAUUGUUGACCUUGUCCGCUUGGUCAUCGUUGGUUAUCAUAGUGGUUGCUUAGCUACUAUUGCUGCUCUCUUGGCAGAUGCUUUGCCGCCGUUUAGUUCGUUGGCAGAUGCUCUAAUUUGCUGCUGAUUGGUUUGUUGAUGGAUGCUUUGCCACCCUGUCGUCGACCUCCUUUCUACUAGUUCAUUUGCUACCGAGACUGAUCUGGUUCGUUGGCGGAUGCUUUGCCGCUGUUUUGUUCGUUGACGAAUGCUUUACCGUCGUUGUUGUUGGACGGUCCUCUGUAUUGACGACCACUACAUUGUUGCAUUGCAGGCACAGUUUUAGGUUUUGGGUCUUGAGGAUAGUCGCUCUCCUCUUUGUAUCUUUGUUGUUCCUAUAUUUAUUCUAGAUUACUCAAUAUUAUCUUAGUGGUUUGUAAUCUAUGAGGGUUUUCUUAUAGCUGACUUAUAAUUCACUCCUUUUAAUAAAAAAGUGGGCUAUAUCCCCAAAUCGUGAAAAAAAUAGUUAAAGGGGUGAAGUAGAUUUUUUUUCUCAAAAGAAUAUUGUUGAAUGAAUGACAGGACUUUGAUGAUAUCAAGUUAUCUGCUCCUGAAAACAACUGCUCAAAGGACUAUGGCCUUGUUUAUAUCAAAAAAAAAUUUAGAUACCGUAGCAUUUUUGUUUUUAUUUGACAAAUAUUUUUCAAUCAUGGAGUAGCUAGGUUUAAAAGAUUCGUCUCGCGAUUUACAGGCAAACUAUGCAAUUAGUUUUUAUUUUUAUCUAUAUUUAAUGGUCCAUGCAUGUGCCGCAAAAUUUGAUGUGCAGAAAAUCUUAAAAAGUUUUUGAUUUUUAGGGUGAACUAAGGCCUGGUUUAGUUGGCAAAAAAUUUAGAUUUCGAGUACUGUAACACUUUCGUUUUUAUUUGACAAACAUUGUCCAAUCAUGGAGUAAUAACUAUACUUAAAAGAUUCAUCUCGCGAUUUACAGAUAAAUUGUGUAAUUAAUUUUUAUUUUCAUAUAUAUAUUUAGUGCUCCAUGCAUGUGCCGCAAGAUUCGAUGUGACGGAGAAUCUUAAAAAAAAUUUGGUUUUUGCGGUGAACUAAACAAGGCCAUAUAUUAGUGUGCUGUGUUUCCCCCUACGAAGCAUUGUGGAGUCGUGCUUGAUCCACGUCGUUUGAUCUGGGCGAGGUGCACAAACGUCACAUGGCUCUUCUUGCUACUUCAGUGCAAAGGGAGUGUAUGCAUGCACACAAUAAUGCGGCCUGCGUCUGUGUACGGUAGAAAAAUACUUUAUACAGGAUAUGCAACGACGUGAAUGCUGCACCUGCCCCCUGCCCCUGCCCCUGCCCGCCCUAGUAGCUAUUCACGGCUCUAUCCAUUCCAUUGCCGUGCGUCAACAGGUCCAGACUGGCCCGGGUCCAAGCGAGUGACCAACGCGGGAAGCCUCCCGUCCCUCCCUCCCCCACAUGGGACAUGGCUGCCUGAUGAAUGCCUCUCGCCGCACUGCCCCUGCCCCUGCCCCUGCCCCUGCCCUCACUCCAUCGGAGGGCGGCGGCUUCACGAGAGCCGAGCAGGACCCAGACCCAGCGGGCAUCCGAGGCCCCCACCCCCACCCCCACCCCUUCCUCCGUGUAUAAAAGCGGUGCCAGGGUGAGCGUCUCUCCUCACACUGACUGCACCAGAACAAGAGCUUGAGAGUGAGAGUGAGGAUGAUGGGUGGCAAGGCCGCUCUGCUGCUGGCCCUGGUGGCCGUGACCCUGGCCGUCGUGGAGAUCCAGGCCGACGCCGGCUACGGCUACGGCGGCGGCUACCCGACGCCGACGCCGAAGCCGCCGGCCAAGGGGCCCAAGCCGGAGAAGCCCCCGACCAAGGGCCACGGCCACAAGCCGGAGAAGCCGCCCAAGGAGCACAAGCCGACUCCGCCCACCUACACCCCGAGCCCCAAGCCCACGCCGCCGCCGGCUACUCCCAAGCCGACGCCGCCCACCUACACGCCGAGCCCUAAGCCCAAGUCGCCGGUCUACCCUCCCCCGCCGAAAGCCAGUACUCCUCCGACCUACACCCCGAGCCCCAAGCCUCCGGCGACCAAGCCGCCUACCUACCCGACCCCCAAGCCACCAGCUACCAAGCCUCCGACACCUCCUGUGUACACUCCGAGCCCCAAACCACCGGUUACAAAGCCUCCUACACCCAAGCCGACCCCGCCGGUGUACACGCCGAACCCCAAGCCACCGGUUACCAAGCCUCCGACACACACGCCGAGCCCCAAGCCUCCGACAUCCAAGCCGACUCCGCCGGUGUACACACCGAGCCCCAAGCCACCGAAGCCGUCCCCGCCGACGUACACGCCGACCCCGAAGCCACCGGCUACCAAGCCGCCCACCUCAACUCCGACGCACCCUAAGCCGACGCCGCACACGCCUAUCCCCAAGCCCACGCCGCCAACCUACAAGCCGGCACCGAAGCCGACGCCGCCGGCGCCCACCCCGCCGACAUACACGCCGCCGGUGUCGCACACCCCCAGCUCGCCGCCGCCGCCGCCGCCGCCGCCUUACUACUAGACGAAGAAGUGAUGAGGUCUCCCACUCUGCUGUCAGUCUCGGAGCAUUUAGGUACGUGCUACAAGAAUGGAGCAUGCACAUACAUACAUACAUACAUACAUUUUCUAUAUAUGCUUGUGUCAAAUGUAUCAUACUGUACUCACUAACAAUCGGUUCCGUUUUUUUGUGUUGCAGAAGGUGAUCGAUCGAAGAGUUUGUGUCCUAGCCAGCCGGCCAAGAUGAGCUGCUGAU
rnacentral:lncRNA from 1 species